UUACAAAUGAUAAGGAUGAUG
rnacentral:piRNA from 1 species